GAUGAAGAACGUAGUGAAAUGCGAUAAGUAAUGUGAAUUGCAGAAUUCAGUGAAUCAUCGAGUCUUUGAACGCACAUUGCGCCCCCUGGUAUUCCGGGGGGCAUGCCUGUCCGAGCGUCAUUGCUGCCCUCAAGCACGGCUUGUGUGUUGGGCCGUCGUCCCCCUCCUAGGGGACGGGCCCGAAGGGCAGCGGCGGCACCGCGUCCGGUCCUCGAGCGUAUGGGGCUUCGUCACCCGCUCCGUAGGCCCGGCCGGCGCUUGCCGACGACCAUCAAUCUCUUUCUCCAGGUUGACCUCGGAUCAGGUAGGGAUACCCGCUGAACUUAAGCAUAUCAAUAAGCGGAGGA
rnacentral:misc_RNA from 1 species